rnacentral:rRNA from 1 species
AUUGAACGAUGGCGGCAGGCCUAAAACAUGAAAGUCGAGCGGAGCGGCGGACGGGUGAGUAAUGCCUAGGAAUAUGCCUGGUAGUGGGGGAUAAAGUCCGGAAACGGGCGCUAAUACCGCAUACUAUCAGAUGAGCCUAGGUCGGAUUAGAUAGUGGGGGGGGUAAAGGCCUACCAAGGCGACGAUCCGUAACUGGGCUGAGAGGAGGAUCAGUAACACGGGAACGGAGACACGGUCCAGACGCCUACGGGAGGCAGCAGUGGGGAAUAUUGGAAAAUGGGCGAAAGCCUGAUCCAGCCAUGCCUCGUGUGUGAAGAAGGUCUUCGGAUUGUAAAGCACUUUAAGUUGGGAGGCGUUACCAACAGAAUAAGCACCGGCUAACUUCGUGCCAGCCGCCGCGGUAAUAC